rnacentral:tRNA from 1 species
UGGCUCAGACGGUAGAGAAUCUGCCUGCAAUGCAGAAGACCCAGGUUUGAUCCCUGG